CAGUCGCCGCGGGAAUACGUAGGUCCCGAGCGUUGCCCGGAUUUAUUGGGCGUAAAGCGAGCGCAGGCGGUUAGAUAAGUCUGAAGUUAAAGGCUGUGGCUUAACCAUAGUACGCUUUGGAAACUGUUUAACUUGAGUGCAAGAGGGGAGAGUGGAAUUCCAUGUGUAGCGGUGAAAUGCGUAGAUAUAUGGAGGAACACCGGUGGCGAAAGCGGCUCUCUGGCUUGUAACUGACGCUGAGGCUCGAAAGCGUGGGGAGCAAACAGGAUUAGAUACCCCCGUAGUCCCUGUCUCUUAUACA
rnacentral:rRNA from 1 species